GAUGAACGCUGGCGGCGUGCCUAAUACAUGCAAGUCGAGCGAACAGACGAGGAGCUUGCUCCUCUGACGUUAGCGGCGGACGGGUGAGUAACACGUGGAUAACCUACCUAUAAGACUGGGAUAACUUCGGGAAACCGGAGCUAAUACCGGAUAACAUGUUGAACCGCAUGGUUCAACAGUGAAAGACGGUCUUGCUGUCACUUAUAGAUGGAUCCGCGCCGCAUUAGCUAGUUGGUAAGGUAACGGCUUACCAAGGCAACGAUGCGUAGCCGACCUGAGAGGGUGAUCGGCCACACUGGAACUGAGACACGGUCCAGACUCCUACGGGAGGCAGCAGUAGGGAAUCUUCCGCAAUGGGCGAAAGCCUGACGGAGCAACGCCGCGUGAGUGAAGAAGGUCUUCGGAUCGUAAAACUCUGUUAUUAGGGAAGAACAGAUGUGUAAGUAACUAUGCACGUCUUGACGGUACCUAAUCAGAAAGCCACGGCUAACUACGUG
rnacentral:rRNA from 1 species